rnacentral:tRNA from 1 species
GGAGAGUUGGCCGAGUGGACGAAGGCGCGCCCCUGCUAAGGGCGUAUAGGCGUUAAACCCUAUCGAGGGUUCGAAUCCCUCACUCUCCGCCA